AUUUGGUUUUCAUUCUUUUCAGAAAGGUCUGAGAUACUGGUGUCUUAGUUUUUUUGCCUGAUACACACAGAUUACUUUCUCAUCUUCAUUUAUUCUUUUAAAAUUAUAUUACUUGAAAGCUACCCUAUAAUUUUUUUGCCUUUACUAUAAGUCAGGAGAGGAUUUAAAAGCUAGAGAGUGAAAUAUUUUUUAAUAAUGGCAACUCUAUUGCAAAAGAUGAAGAGUUAAAAAAACAGCAAGCUUGCUACUUGAUGACAGAAAUCCAUGCUUUUGAAAGUCAUACAGACAUGCAGCCUGGGUUGCCUUCAAUGUUUUGACUGCCAUAAAACUAGAAAAAUUAAUUAGCAUAAAUUCAUAGCCUAGUUCUGAAAAAUAAAGGAAGUAAAUAUUACAUAGUUCCCAGCAAUUACAGCAUUUUUGUUUUUGCAGAACACAACAAUUUAAUUCUCCAGAUACUCUCAGUGUAUACAGCAACUCUUGAUCUCCCCCUACAUAAUACAGCACGGUAGAGUGUCUCUUUAAAUUCAUUUAUAAAAUAAUUCAGGACUGUGGGUGUCUUUGAUCUGUUCCUCUCUGCUAAAGUACAGAAGAGAAGAACAUGUCGCUUAGCAACUCCGUGCUGGAAUGGGAGGGAGGCAGGGAGGGAUGGAUGGUCCAGAGUCACAAGAGGGAAAGAUUAAUCCCCAUCAGAAAACUAAACUUCUGACCAUGUUUAUGUCUGGUCUUACAUUAAUGAUCAUAAAGAUUGUUUAAAACUUCUUAAUUUUUAUGCCUCUUCCAUGUCCUAAUCACCUAUAACUUAAUACUGUACUCAUCACUGUACAGUUAAAAGAGUCUCUAAAUGCUCAUGGUUCAUGUUUGUCCCAGACAAACAUGACAAAUUGCUAGUCCAGGCAAUUCUGCACACAAAUUAUGUAGUAAAAUUGCAGAUUAUGAGAGCAAGUGCCUGCCUUCAUCCGCAGGCUAGAGGCUUAUCUAAACUGGCAUCUGUUGCAUAUUCCAGCAAUUACAAACAUAUUUGAAAGUAGACAUUAUUGAACUCUGAAGUAACACUUCUGUUAUCUCCAGAAAUGGUAAACCAUAGUGUGGACCUUAUUAAGAUCUAAGUUUCUUAGAGUAGUGUACCUAAGAAUUCAAUACAUAAGUAAGAAAAUAAUUUUUUAUUUCCCAUAUAUAGAUAGCAAAGAGUUUAAGAGUAGAGUCCUUUUACCAGUGAGAUCAAUGGGAAUUGUAGUAGUUACUGCAGGGUUGUCAGGAUUUUACCCAGGAUCUCUCAGGUUGUACUUUUUUUAUUGGCAAAUGCUUAUCUAACUUGAUUCUUUGGAGAAAUUUAAUUAAAGAUAAAUGUGUAAAGCACUUGGCAUUAAGUGAUCCAAGUUUGUUAGCAUACAGUAUUUAGAGUGAGGCCAAAGGAGAAGCAAAUAAUGCUAACUCAGUUGUGAGCGAAGCAUGUAUAGACUUUCAGCAUUUCUGUUUUUAACAAGUAUUUUCUAUAUUCUCCCAUUUUUAUGAUUCAUACCCAUUUAGAAGCUUUAUUUGAAAUGUAGCAAACUGAAGCAAACUCCAUUGACUUGUUUGUUGUGACAUCUUUGUUCUCAGUUACACCAGGGUGAACUUAAUACUGAAUAAGUAUUUUGCUGACUGUUGAAAUGGAGUGGGAGGAGGAGUCCAGCAACAGUAGAACUCUUGUGCUUGUGUUUACAGUACCAGUUCAUAUACUUAGUGCUUUUUAUUUUUAGGAAACAGAAAUAUAUAAUAUCCAUGAGGCUAAGAUUGUCUUGGUUGGAGAUUCUUCUUGUUAAAAAAGUUGAUUUCUCAGAGCCAGAACAUCUCCAGCUUCUCUAACAAGGAAGCAGAUUUUGUGAGGCUGAUAGUUUUGAGGAAUAUGUAUUGGACUAUGCUGACUUAAAGCCAUGUACAAUUAACAUAGCUUUCUGGUUAUGACAUUCAAGUUACCAGAUCAGGAUGAUACAUGAAAAAAAGCAUGCAGAUAAGGUAUUGUUUGCCCAAACGUGUAAUCAGGAAUUGACUUCCUAAAGGUAUGUCUGAAGCUGGAGACUGAAAACACAGAUGUGUGAUAUUUUUAUUUUUCAGAGCAAUCACAGAAUCAUUCAUAGAAUCAUAGAAUCGUAGUGGUUGGAAGGGACCUCUGAAGACCAUCAAGGCCAACCCCCCUGCUGCAGUAGAAACACCCAAGGCAGAUCACACAGGAACGUGUCCAGACAGGUCUGGAAAGUCUCCAGAGAAGGAAACUCCACAACCUCUCUGGGCAGCCUGUCCCAGGGCUCUGUCACCCUCACAGGAAAGAAGUUUCUCCUCAUGUUGAGGAGGAACUUCCUGUGUUGUCACUUGAGGAAAAGAGGAUUAUCUUUGGCAUGGGACACAACACUGUGACAGCCUCUGUUCUUAGGGAAGAAUCUUUAAUCUAAAAUGUAUAAGACUAUUUAUCUCUCUUGUAAUCUCCUAAAUGAAAAUAGAGUGAUUCAGCUUUUUUCACCAUGCAUAGAAAAGUCUGAAGUUAAAAAUAAAUCUCAGCUCCUUCUCAGUAGAGGGACAAUGGGUGUCUUUUCUCUAAAUAAAAGCACGCUGGUCCCAUUGUCCUUGGCAAAACAGUAGGUCAUCACAGAAAGGUGUUUUGGUAUUUGAGGCUCAGUUUCCCCCAUCAUCAGUACUUAGAGCAGUGGGGACUGCAGCAGUGUCAGAGAAGCUGAACAUCUUUACUGCUUGCAUUACUACCACAACGUCUAACAUCAGCACUGGAGAGUUGGCAUGUAAGUGGAAUUAAAAAUUCACUUAGAUGCUUUGAUAUUUAAUAUAUGCAAAAUUUGAAAGGAACAGAAGAGUUUAUUUUUAAAAGGAAAUGAAUAAAAGACAUUCUAAAAUGAUGCAAAAUAAUGGAUGGUGUAAAGGAAGGUCAGGAAAUUCUUGCUGAACGUGGGCAUUCACAGAGGGAGAUACAUAUUGCAAAACACAACCAACCCAAAAGAACCCAUUCCCUGUUUGAUUGCACACUGUGGUAUCACUGCCAAGUAUGUCCUCUGCCCAGGGCUGGUUGGACAGCCUGCCCAAAACCAGACCUGCUUGCUGCUCUCUUUCAUCCCAGGCACCACAGCAGCAUAGGAGCACAAGUGGUGGUCUCCUCUAUCCCACCAGUUGCAGGGAUUGAUGAGGGGAUAAACAGGAAGAGCCAGAAGACUGACUCCUGGCUCCCAGAGUGGUGUAACUGACAGGACUUUAGUUUCUUUGAUCAUGAGUCGAUCUACAGGACACCAGGCAUGCUGGCAAUGGGUGGGGAAAGCCUAACCUGAAGGGGAAGAAGGAUCCUGGACAAGAGUUUGCAGGGCUCAUUGGAAGAGCUUUAAACUAGGUCUGAAGGGGGAUGGAGAUGAAACCAGUCUUUCUAGAGAGGAGCCUGGGAACUGCAAGCCAGUGUUUGUGGGUCACACUGCUGGCAAGGUCUUGCACUCUGUUGUCUCAGUGGAAGUAGGGGAUGGUGAACCAUGUGGUAGUGAAGACAUGAGGGGCAGUGAAUGGUUGGUAACUAGGGAGGUAUCUGAGUGUGGUCAGGUGGGAAUCAGGGCUUGUACCCCCAGAAGGGUGGCAGGACAAUUAGGCCAGCUGAAGUGCAUCUACACCAAUGCACACAGCAUGGGCAACAAACAGGAGGAGCUGGAGGCCAUUAAGGGCAAGAAAACUAUGAUAGAGUUGCCAUUACAGAAAUGUGGUGGGAAGACUCACACACCUGGAGCAAUUGAUGGCUACCAACUUUUCAGAAGGGAGAGGCAAGGAAGGAGAGGUGAUGGGGUGGCCCUCUAUGUUAGGGAUAGAUUUGAGUGGCUGGAACUUAACGUUGUGAGUGACAGUGUUGAGUGUUCAUGGGUAAGAAUCAAGGGGAAGGCCAAUAAGGGAAUUUGUUAUAGACCCCCCAACCACGAUGUAGAGGCCUGUUCCAUAUAUUCAUCAAUGACUUGGAUGAGGGGACAGAGUGUGUCCUCAGCAAGUUCACUGGUGAUACCAAACUGGGAGGGGUGGUGACACCCCAGAGGGCUGUGCUGCCAUCCAGUGUGACCUGGACAGGCUGGAGAGCUGGGCAGAGAGGAACCUAAUGAGGUUCAACAAGGGCAAGUGUAGGGUCCUGCACCUGAGGAGGAAGAACCCUAUGCACCAAUAUAGGUUAGGGGUGGAACUGCUGGAGAGCAGUUCUGGGGAGAAGGAUCUGGGAGUCCAGGUAGACAGUAAAUGAUCCAUGAGCCAGCAGUGUGUCCUUGUGGCCAAGCAGGCCAAUGGAAUCCUGGGGUGCGUAAGGAAGAGUGUGGCCAUUAGGUGGAGAGAGGUCAUUUUCCUCCACUGUUCUGCCCUGGUGAGGCCACAUCUGGAGUAUUGUGUCCAGUUCUGGGCUCCCCAGUUGAAGAAGGACAGGAAAGUGCUGAAGAGAGUCCAGGGAGGGCAACAAAGAUGACUGGGGGGCUGGAGCAUCUCUCUUAUGAGGAAAGCCUGAGAGAGCUGGGACUGUUCAGCCUGGAGAAGAGAAGGCUGAGGGGAGACCUUUUCAGUGCCUGUAAGUAUCUCAGGGUGGGUGCAGGGAGGAUGGAGCCAGACUCUGCUCAGUAGUUCCCAGUGACAGGACGAGGGGCAACGGGCAUGAGCUGGAACGUGGGAAGUUCCAUUUAAACAUGAGGAAAAACUUACUUACAGUGAGGGUGACAGAGCCCUGGGACAGACUGCCCAGGGAGGUUGCAGAGUCUCCUUCUCUGGAGACUUUCAAGACCCACCUGCAUGCAGCCCUGAGUAAUGUCCUCCAGGGGAUCCUGCUUUAGCAGGGGAGUUGGACUAGAUGAUCUCUAGAGGUCCCUUCCAACUCUGACAAUGUUGUGGUUCCAUGGUUCCAUGAGUGGAAGUGAAGGGUUUGGGAGGAGAGAAAAAAAAUAAAAAUGCAGAGAGGUCCUUGUCCUCAGAAAGCCUGCUGAAGAAGUCAUAUUUACAUGGUGAAUUUAGAUGUAUCAGUGACUAUGGCAGAAUAUUUCUGAGAAAGCCCCCUCUUAAUAUUUUGGCAGCAUGAGAGUGUUUUUUCCCAAUUGCAAAUGUCGCUCCAUCUGCCACAGAGCCAUUGGUUCCAACAGCCUGUCCUUCCCCAUGAAAGGGACACCACGGAAACAUGAUGAUUGCUGUUGGGCUCUCAGGAGAGGAAAUGAUAAGAAUGAGCCAUUGGAGUGAGUCCAGAGGAGACCACAGAGAUGAUCCGAGGGCUAGAGCAGCUCUGCUCUGGAGCCAGGCUGGGAGAGUUGGGGCUGUUCAGCCUGGAGAAGAGAAGGCUCCAGGGAGACCUUGGAGCACCUUCCAGUGCCUGAAGGGGCUCCAGGAAAGCUGGGGAGGGACUUUUGACAAGGGCAGGGAGUGAGAGGACAAGAGGUAAUGGACUAAAACUUGAAGUGGGGAGAUUUAGGUGAGACAUGAGGAGGAAAUUCUUCACUGUGAGGGUGGUGAGACCCUGGAACAGGUUGCCCAGGGAAGCUGUGGCUGCCCCAUCCCUGGAAGUGUUCAAGGGCAGGUUGGAUAGAGCUCUGAGCAACCUGAUCUAAUGGGAGGUGUCCCUGCCAAUGCAGGGGGGCUGGAUCUAGAUGAUCGUUAAGGCCCCUUCCAACCCAAACCCUUCCAUUCUAUGAUUCUACGAAUGUGUGCCCCACUGCCAUCAAGUGCCCUGUUGGUGGAGUGUUUGCCAUGAGAAGACACGCCAGCUGAGGAGGUAUAAAUUCCUUCCUAUUUACUAAUGAGUGAACUUAUAAUUUAGUUGUAUUUACCAUCAUUUUGGUAAGAUUUUGCUAAUACCACUGGCUUAAAUCUAAGUUACAUCAUGGAAAUAUUGGCACGAAGGGACCCUUAGAUCAACUCCCACCUUCCUCUCAAAGCAGGGCUGUUGCCAGUGCUGAAUCAGACCUGCUGUGAUUCUGCCUAGCCCAAAGCCAGACACAGUAUUCCUGGUGUGACGUUACUGGCUUUGGGGCAAUGGGGAUAAUGAGUUUCCUCCAUCUGCUGGCCACCCUUCUUUGAAAGUAGGCCAGUGUGCAGUUUGCCCCAUUUGCAUUGAGCACGUUGUUGGUUCACAUUUGACCUGACAUCCACAGUAACCUCCUGGUUUUCAAUACCUAGUCUAACAUUUUGGAGUAUACAAAAGUUUUUUCAAUUAAAAGUAAAUCGACAUUUGCCUUUCGUCUGUGUUGCAAUCAAACCAACCUCUCACCAUUCCUGAGAGCAGGAGGGAGAGUCCUCCAUGGCAGGACAGCCAAAGGCCCUCUGGCACACUGGUCAUCCAUGUCCCAUCCCUGCUUCAGCUCCAGGCCCCCUCUGAACCCCAGGUGCAUCUCCCAACUACUGCAAUAUUGGCUUACCUGGGCCAGGUGGAUGGCACCAUCUCUCUGUCGCCAGCACUUUCAGAGUUUAACAUCAUUACAGAUCUGUCUCUGUAAAACACUUUGUUUAUGGCAAAACAUCACAUUUCCACAAAGAUAUCUUCCUGAUUUGUUUUUUGAAAUCUGAAUUAUGACAAAGAAAAGUAUGUGGUGUCUUAAACCUGAAAGAGACACCAAAGAGAAAAAAACAAACUCAAUUCUAAAAUGACUGUUUCAGUGAUGACUUGUAAUCUGUGCAGUUUCAUCUCCUUGAUAAUACCCAGUCUAGUGUUAGAUCUAAAAAAAGAGAGAAAUGAGAAAAUAAUUCCUUUGAUAUGCAUUAAAUUAUUCAGUUAGUAAAUUAGUGAAUCUUACUCUGAGUGUUAUUAGCUAUUAGCAUGUUACACUUCUUGAUGUUCCUCAUGAAGAAUGCGUAUGAAAAUGAGAAGAUUUCCCUUUUGAAGUUGCUGCCAAUGGAGUUGUUGACAUUUCUUGUAAUUGGUGGCUGUCCUCUUGAAUGCAAUAUUCUGCUCUCUGUUUUUAUGAGAGAGUCUUAAUUUUUAAUUUGUUCUUUCAUUGAUUAGACUUUUUUUUUAAAUGGGUAACUGUCAAAAUAAUUAGCCUUUCAAGGGAAGCAUGUUCUUCUAAACAGUUAUUAAUGAGUAUCUCCCCCAUUCAGUAUACUUAGGCCUUUUCAUUAGGAAUCUUUCAAGCUUACAUCUGGCCUGGUUGAACUGUGCCUGGUACCACUAAAGACAUCAGAAAUCUCACUGCAGAUUUCAGGAAGAACAAGAUCAGACCCUAGGAGUGAAGAAAGAUCAUUCACUUUCACUUAGGGAGAUGUGUUUUCUAGGAGAACCUAUAAACAUUUCUUCAGGCUGGAGGAGGAAGUGAAAAUGAGUGAAGAAAACAAGGUAAUUCCAUCUGGCCAAGGAUGCCAUCUUCAAAGGCACUAUCAGCUUCAGCAGCUGGGCUAAUGAGCCUCAAUUAUACUGCCAAUUUUACAGCUCCCUUUUAGUUAAAGUCAAUGUACAUUGCAUAAAAAUAAACCUAUUAAAACCAACAGUUGUUCUGCAUACAAAGUUAUCUUCCCUCUAAAGAGCCAGGGAUCUUCACUAAGAGCAUACUUUGUUUUAGAAAUUAUUGCCUGUGUUCCACUUGCAAUUAAGGAGCACAGUGGAUAAUAAAAUACUCAACAAAUCAUGGAUUUCUGCAGUGAUCUAAUCCCAUCCUGAUUCCUGUUUGGCACCCCUAAGCCAGUUCUUCUCCUUUCCCUUACUCUGGUCUUUCACCUGACAAUCUGCCUUGAGCUUUGACAGCUAUUUUCAUCCCACUGAAAUGCACUCUUACUUUUGUAUGUUAGACUCUUGUUGAUUUGCUCUUUCAAAAUGGACCAGAUCAUCAUCCUCAUCCUUUCUCUACCUCACUGUAAGCUCUCCUGCUCUCUCUCCCUGCCUUCUCCCCACCUGGUCAUUAAGGAGCCUCCACCAUAAACAUGAGUUUUGUCAUUCCUGGACAGACUUCUCUCCAAACCAGAACCUCAGCCCAUGGCUCUGGUAUUUCCUCAGGAGGGUGUAGUUACCUGUUCAAGGUCAGUAUCUUAAAACAAGGGGGUUUAGAGUCUCUGCCAAGCUUGUCCUGUCAAUUUUAUUUCUCAGUUUCUAUCAACAGUGUGAUCACGUUGGUUUUUUGUCAUUCCCAUCCACUGUCUCCUCUUCAGAAGAGCUUACUCUGUGGAUCAGUCUGUACAGACUAUCUAAACAGUGACAGAAAUGUUCUUUUCUAUCCCAACUGAAAACUAAAGCUUUGAACCAGGCUCUGAUGAUCUUACGGUUCUCAUACACCUUCCUGCUUGCCUUUUUUGACCAACUCCAGUAGAACAAUAAAGUAAAACAAUUUUUUCAAAUUUAUGGCUUUGCAUCUUUAGUAGCCUUCUCCACAUUUAUUCAUGGCCAAUUACAGCAGGUUUUUUGGUCCAUACUUAAGAUUUUUAUAAAUAACAGAUAAUAGCUGGCAGUUUUGUUUCCACUAGUACUAAUUCUGCAAUACCUAAAGACUAUAAUUUGCACUUCACUGCAAUAAAUGGUAGUCAGUUUUUUAGAAGAAAUAACUCAACUACAAUAGAGGAGAAAAAGGAUCAGAACAUCAACAUGACCUUUCAGAUUGAAAAUCGCUAUGAAAAUAAGAACAUUGAAAAAAGAUGAUCCGACACGUUAGGUUGUAAAAAUUGGUAUAAACAGCUGCUCAAACCAUCAUGGAAUCAAUAACUUAAAGGGAAGCUUCACUUUGGAAAUUAGCAAUGUUUGUAGAGCAGCUAAUUUUAUUUUCUUGAAUACUAUUAAAAUACCUAUUCAGAAUUGUAAGUUGUAGGCUAAAAUACUGCAAUGUGGCUCACAGAAGAGGUAGCAGGGACUAGGAAAGGGCCUUGCAGGAUGAUGUAUUUCUGACAAUAUAAUUCAAGCUAUUUCAAGAAUCCAUUUGCAAUCCAUGAGCUGUCUGGGUAGAGCCCUGCCCUCCUGGAAAUCAAUAGGAGUUUUGCUUGUGACAUCAGUGAAAUGAGGUUUUCGUCUCAUUUUAUCCUGUGCAAGAUGAGGUGUUGGGUCUGAAAAACAGUAUUAGUUCUAGUAUAUGCAGUACCAAUGAUUUUAAAUACUUUUGCUUAGGAGAAGUGCUAAAUUAAAUUUGGCAGGUGUCUUAUUAAUGGAAAAUUUUUUUGGUUGUUUCAUCCUGAUUUUCUUAUUGGUAGAAGCUUCAUGUUUCUUGGUAUUACAGCCAACCUCUGUUGUGCCAGUAAGAAAGAGGCACUGAAGCUGUCGGCCUCUGGGUGUGAGAGGCGGGUUGUUUCCCUUCCCCAUUCCAAUGGAAAAUCCACAAAAGCAAGCAUUCAAUAGUACAGAUUCCAUUAUUACCAAGCACCUAAAUGCGGCAAGUGCUAUGAUAAUCUACCUUUGAACUUGUUAGUAACAAUGCAUAAUUAACCAGUAACCUGCAGGACCACCAAUUGCUCUGCAUGCUCAUCGUGUUUGCCAUGCGGCUGCGGUAUGAUUCCAGAGGUAGAAGAGCAGAACAUGGUGUUCUUUAGUUUGUGUUACUUCACAUCACUUGGCCCUGUGGAGAAGAGCACCAUGAGAGGAAGCUGAACCAAGUGUUUCAUCCUGUUGUGGGUGGAAGGAAGCCCCAGGUACGAAGCUGCACGUGAAUCUGCACCAAGUGCUGUUACUGAAAUUAUCUGGCUUUUCUGGAGGUUUCCAGGUAUCCAGGGUGGCAGCCUUGCUUUUUGAACUCCAGUUCUUUACAUUUUGGACUGCCACCCAUUCAGCAAUGUAAAUGGACUUGAGUAUGCAGAUUCAAAAUAAGACAGGCUAGGGUCUGGGGUUUUUUAGUAUAUCAACUGUUUCCUUUCACAUACAAUAAUAUUUACUGUGAGGCUGAUGGAGCCCUGGGACAGGCUGCCCAGGGAAGUUGUGGAGUCUCCUUCUCUGGAGACUUUCAAGACCUGUCUGGACAUGUUCCUGUGUGAUCUGCCUUGGGUGUUCCUGCUGCAGCAGGGAGCUUGGACUUGAUGACCUUCAGAAGUCCCUUCCAGCCCCUAUGAUUCUAUGAUAAUAUUGUAUAAUAAUUACAGGUAAAAGAAUGCAUGGAAGGAAUCCAUCUUCUUACAAAAUUUUAAGAACCUGCAAUCCAGCGGAUCACCCUUUCUUUGCCGUAAAACUCCCCAGUGCUGUCACAGCUUGUACCAGCUGCGUUGGAGUGAGGAAGAUGGCCACAGGUCUCCCCAGGAGCCUCCCUGGAGCACAUGGCUCUCUGGUUUCAGCACCCAGGAAGAAGUUGAAUAUCUUAUUUAUUGGGCUCUUCUAGGCAUGUUCCACAUGUCCAUGCGCUGUAUUCAGCAGGACUGAUCAGAAAUACAGGAUGCAGCCUGGAACAGAUGUGAAGCUACACGUGCCAAGGAAGCGAACAGGAGAGCAGACCACCAGCCAUGGUGCCUCCUAGCACUGAGGCUCCUGCCCCACCACCUUCUUCACCCACAGUUUAAUAAAUCCAAAUUUUACACACUUCCCAUUGAAAGACCCCUGAGCACCAGGAUGGCCUGUUCUAAGAUGGUCUGUGCACACCAUGGGGCACUGUUACUUGUUUGGGCAAUGCAGGAACCCAGAGCUGGAAGGAAGAUGGGGGUUACAUAGCUGAGGCACCAACUCCUGCAUGCCACUUGGGAAAAAUGGUACCAGGCAUAGUGGUGCCACAGUCUGUAGCAAAAAAAACAACCUGUGACGUGCACCAAGAACAGGUAGAAGUCAUCAACAGCAUCGGUUCCUGAUGUAUUUGCAUCCUGAUGCAAUUUUUUUUAGUGAAAACUGCUGGUGGCCUUCAGGAAGUGAGUGAUGUUCCCUACUGCACAGGAGGACAGGGAGACCAGCUCUGGGUUGUCUCUACUGCCUUGACCAAGGGUGGUGUCUCCAUCCAAACCUGGACUUGUGAGUACUCAUGACUUAGAACACCAGCCAGGACCACCCACCAGACCCCCAUCAUUUUCAUGCUAGUUAGCAACUCUCACUGCUAUCCUGUUUCUGGCUGUGACUAAUCUUCAGUGGUUGAGAGAAUGGGAAAAAGCAACAACUCACAAACCCACAAGUUAGAUGAUAGACCAACAGGAAGUUUUUCUUAUCCUCAUAGAUAACUAGCAGAAACGCUGGGACUCACACUGCAGGGGGAGGGGGAAACAACAAUCCCUUCUCAACCACAGCAGCCCACCAAAUCCCCAAGGACUCCCAACAAAAAGCCAUUUUCUGUCUUCAGGAAUUUCCAGUUGGUUGCAUAAUCCUUCCAUGAGCUGCUCAAACCAUCUCUGCAAUCACAGGGCACUCCAGAGUUUUGCUCCUUGCAUUACUGGUAACUGUCUCCUAAUUUCCACUCUGCAUUGAUUCAUGACUAAUUUAUACCCAUUUGAUUCCAGGCUAACAUUAACCUUUAACUCCUGCAGUUCUUCCUGCUUGGAAUAAAUGGUUGUCUUCUGUAAUGCUUAGUUUGUUGGGGCUCAAAAAGAUAAACUGAUAUUUAUCAGUCAUGAAAGUCCUUCCUGUGUGAGAAUGAAUGUGACUUCAUCUGGUGGAUCAGCCCAAAAUAGGUCCUCAGUUGGCAAAACCAUAGUAUUCUCAGUUAUGUGUAAAGGUUGUUAAUUUUUUGUUUGUAGUUAUCAGGUACUAGGUUGCAAGUCCAAGUCACUUACUGAAUGAAGAUGACUCUUUGCUGCUUUCCAGCAAGGCAGAAAGGUCCCUGCAGAGACCUUCAGAGGCCAUUUCUGAGCCACCUGGGUGAAGCAGCCCCAUCACCCACUGCAACACCUGGCCCAGGGCUCUCCUGGCCUGCAGAGCACCAGGACCACCGAGACAGUGGGUGCCAGGAGGGGAAGAUGUUGUAUUCAAGAGCAUGACAAGCCUGGUAAUAUUUGGUGUCCCAGUUGUUCUCCUCACUAAGGAGGACCAGCCUCCCUUGGGCUGGGCAGAGAUCGGCUGACAACCUCAAAAAUGGGUAAAAUGGAUUUGAAAUGAUAGGGUAUUUCUAGCACAGGAGUGAAGUAUUGCCAACAGCAGCACCUUGUUCCUAAGGUCAGCUCAGCUUUAUCGGAAUGUUAGGUCUGUGUUGUGCAAGUGUCCCCUCAGUGGCAAAGAAUUAUUAGUUGUUCUUACUGUCACCUCUUCCUGCAAGGCCAUCUCUGCCACUUUGCUACAGUUAAUUACUUGUUAAGAAGAAGGUAAUUGUAGCAGAAUUUGACUAGCAAAGAAUGGAAGCCUUGGGAGAACUUCAAUUUUGGCUAAGUUCUCUGUGGCGUUUGCUGAGCACUUGUUCUCUGCAUUUCCUGACCCAGCUGCUACCUUCACUCCAUGCCCCACCAUCCUCCUUGCACUGUUGCUGUUCCUUUCAGUAAUAUCUGGCUGUCUCUCAUGGAGAUGUUGCUGUGGAUUGUUUUGUAUUCCUACAUGUUCUGAGCUCUGCUGAGCAGGACACAGCCUCUGCACCAUCCUGGGUGGUUCCCUCCACCCACACCUCCCUCUCCCCCUGGUCCCAAAUAUCAGACACAUACCAUAUCAGGAUGAUGAUGGUGGUGGACCUGGGACACCUGGAAAGGCAGGAGGUCCAGCUGGUGCAUUAAGCACCGUAACAGUCCCCAGGUAGGGGCUGGAGCUGAAGCAGAACAUCUACCACCCAUAUAUUGGUUGCAUUUGUGUCCUCCAUUGUGCUUACUACCCCACAAGUCACAGAAUCACAGAUUUACCUUGGUUGGAAAAGACCUUUAAGCAUGGAGUCCAACAUUAACCUAACACUGACAAGUCCUUAACUAAACCGUAUCCCUAAGAAUGAUUCUAUAUGAUUCUUGCAUUCCUCCAGGGAUGGUGAC